AGCAGCAGUGCGUGCGCGACUGCCGUCGCGGCCGUGGCAGCUGGGAGACGACGGUGGCCGGCGCCAUCCUCGAGGUGGUGUGAGGACGGCCGGCCGGCGGCGACGUGCAUGGCGUGGCGCGCGGCUAAUAAUAAAAGGGGUGUACGUACGUACGUGUCACCGGGCGUGGCUUCUCUGCAGGGGACCCACAUCGACCAAGUACUACUGCUCGUUCGUACUACGUACGUAUAUACGCCCGUGUAUACGUACGUAUGUACAUAUGUGUGUAUACGUCUUUGCUGCACGUAUGUAGAGAGACGUGAGAAUAAAGAGUGGUAGCUACAUGCACGGCGGCCAUGGCUCUCCGAUGAGAGAGCUGCUGCUAGCUGUGU
rnacentral:lncRNA from 1 species